rnacentral:rRNA from 1 species
GGGUUGUGAGGUUAAGCGACUAAGCGUACACGGUGGAUGCCCUGGCAGUCAGAGGCGAUGAAGGGCGUGCUAAUCUGCGAUAAGCGCCGGUAAGGUGAUAUGAACCGUUAUAACCGGCGAUACCCGAAUGGGGAAACCCAGUGUGAUUCGUCACACUAUCAUUAACUGAAUCCAUAGGUUAAUGAGGCGAACCGGGGGAACUGAAACAUCUAAGUACCCCGAGGAAAAGAAAUCAACCGAGAUUCCCCCAGUAGCGGCGAGCGAACGGGGAGGAGCCCAGAGCCUGAAUCAGCAUGUGUGUUAGUGGAAGCGUCUGGAAAGGCGCGCGAUACAGGGUGACAGCCCCGUACACAAAAGCGCAUGUGUUGUGAGCUCGAUGAGUAGGGCGGGACACGUGGUAUCCUGUCUGAAUAUGGGGGGACCAUCCUCCAAGGCUAAAUACUCCUGACUGACCGAUAGUGAACCAGUACCGUGAGGGAAAGGCGAAAAGAACCCCGGCGAGGGGAGUGAAAAAGAACCUGAAACCGUGUACGUACAAGCAGUGGGAGCACAGGUUUACCUGUGUGACUGCGUACCUUUUGUAUAAUGGGUCAGCGACUUAUAUUCUGUAGCAAGGUUAACCGUAUAGGGGAGCCGGAGGGAAACCGAGUCUUAAU